rnacentral:tRNA from 2 species
GCCGCCUUAGCUCAGUUGGUAGAGCGGUACUUUCGUAAAGUAUAGGUCGCCGGUUCAAAUCCGGCAGGCGGCUCCA